CUGCGCCCGGGACGAGGAUGAUCUAGGGUUUAUCGUGGAGCUGGGGAUGUGAACCAGCAUAAGAUUAUGAAUAUGGAAAUGAAGCUAGUCAUAGAGGCCGAAUUUUAGUCCUCGGCGGUGUUCACGUGGGGGUCUUUCCGUUCAAUGUUUGUGCGUCUAAAAACUUCCGCUAUAGAUAUUCUAAAUCCCGAUUUUUAUCCAAUUUUCUGAAUUUUAGUAAUAUAGAAGUCUUUGGCGAUGAUUUUAUACUUAUCCGCGCUUCCGAGGUUUAACGAUGAAGCAAACUUAAAAUUAAUGGUUGAAUUUCUUAAUAUGAGCCA